GUGAAUCAUCGAAUUUUUGAACGCAAAUUGCACUCUCCUUGGAGAGUAGGCCUGUUUGAGUUUCAGCCUAUAAAAAUCGACAUCGUUACUUUUUCUCGGUGUCGUUCGUCGGAAAUUGGUUCAUCUUAAAUCCUUUUGAUUUAAGCGACUUAAAAUUUUCGUUUGGUUCCAUGAACGUUUCUAAUAUCUAUUUAUUUACACGUUUAAGGCAUCGAUUUUUACUAUACUUUACCAUCAUAUCGGAUCGCGUCCAUAUGCUUUCAUUAACUUACCUCAGAUAGGUAAGAGUACACGC
rnacentral:misc_RNA from 1 species